CCCCAGACUCCUACGGGAGGCAGCAGUGGGGAAUAUUGCACAAUGGGGGAAACCCUGAUGCAGCGACGCCGCGUGAGUGAAGAAGUAUUUCGGUAUGUAAAGCUCUAUCAGCAGGGAAGAAAAUGACGGUACCUGACUAAGAAGCCCCGGCUAACUACGUGCCAGCAGCCGCGGUAAUACGUAGGGGGCAAGCGUUAUCCGGAUUUACUGGGUGUAAAGGGAGCGUAGACGGCAUGGCAAGUCAGAUGUGAAAGCCCGGGGCUCAACCCCGGGACUGCAUUUGAAACUGUCAGGCUGGAGUGCAGGAGGGGUAAGUGGAAUUCCUAGUGUAGCGGUGAAAUGCGUAGAUAUUAGGAGGAACACCAGUGGCGAAGGCGGCUUACUGGACUGUAACUGACGCUGAGGCACGAAAGUGUGGGGAGCAAACAGGAUUAGAUACCCGGGUA
rnacentral:rRNA from 1 species